UACGGAGUGGGCUAGCGUUGUUCGGAAUUACUGGGCGUAAAGCGCACGUAGGCGGACCGGACAGUCAGAGGUGAAAUCCCAGGGCUCAACCUUGGAACUGCCUUUGAAACUAUCGGUCUGGAGUUCGAGAGAGGUGAGUGGAAUUCCGAGUGUAGAGGUGAAAUUCGUAGAUAUUCGGAGGAACACCAGUGGCGAAGGCGGCUCACUGGCUCGAUACUGACGCUGAGGUGCGAAAGCGUGGGGAGCAAACAGG
rnacentral:rRNA from 1 species